UACGUAGGGUGCAAGCGUUAAUCGGAAUUACUGGGCGUAAAGCGUGCGCAGGCGGCUUUGCAAGACAGAUGUGAAAUCCCCCGGGCUCAACCUGGGAACUGCAUUUGUGACUGCAUGGCUAGAGUACGGUAGAGGGGGAUGGAAUUCCGCGUGUAGCAGUGAAAUGCGUAGAUAUGCGGAGGAACACCGAUGGCGAAGGCAAUCCCCUGGACCUGUACUGACGCUCAUGCACGAAAGCGUGGGGAGCAAACAGGAUUAGA
rnacentral:rRNA from 1 species